UGAUGAAUAGGUGAUUAGGGA
ensembl:piRNA 21ur-5180 ncRNA